rnacentral:tRNA from 1 species
GGGCCGUUAGCUCAGAUGGUAGAGCAGCGGACUUUUAAUCCGUUGGUCGCGGGUUCAAAUCCCGCACGGCCCACCA